CCUCACACAUCAAAAAUUAGUUCGACGACUUCGUCUUCCUCCUUUUCCUCGAAGAAAUCCCAACCGUUUCACCUCUUCUCCUCUGUAACAUUAAAAUUGUGACUCAUAAAGCUUUAUCAUUUAGUGCAAUCACUAUAUAAUCUACCUCUUCACAUCCAAUUUUGCUGAGGAGAAGAAGAACUACAACGUAGAAUCUAUAUUUCCCCGGUCAUGCCAAUGUCAUCAACUCUGGAUCAAGCGCUAAAUCUCUGUCAUCAACCAAACACUGAUCAUGAAGAAAUCAGCAAACUCCCAUCUUCAAAAGCCAAGGAUAACAGAAAGUCAUCAUCCAACUUUCCAGACUUCUGCAACUGGUCUCCAUGAGCUCCAAACUACGUGUUUAUCCUAAUCGUUAAGUUCUCAUUCUUUGGGUUCUUGAUCUUCCAUUACAUCAGAUUCAUCACCGUUAAAUCCUUCAAGAUUUUCUAACAGCGAGAUGGCUUCACCAAAAUGGAACUGAGGUGAAACACAGUCUGGAAACUCAAAAUCCUAUUGGCUCCACCUUCAUCACCAUCGGUAUCCAAAGAAGCCAGUGCCGUCCUAAUACUUUGAUAGUGAUUAAGUUGAGGCUUGAGGCGUAUUGAUGGCACAACGACCAGAUUGUUCUACUUCAUAUGAUAGUUUAGUCGGAUCCUGUAACACACUUUUGAGAAUAACCAUUUACAAGUACCUACUGCUUAAUCCACGAAAGUCUUUUGUCUCCACAGGAAGGUCUCCCAUCGUCCUGUAUUAUAACAAUCAAGGGAGUUAGGCAUGGAUAUAAGAUCAGAACGAUUGUUGGUUUUGAAGCAUAACCCGUGUUCCGAUCAUGUCAGAGCUCCCAAAACAACACGGAUGACCAUAGUCAGAAUCAAAAGGGUAAGUGACAAUCACUUCUAGGGAACCAUCUCAGAGUGUAUUGGCAACUGGUCUCAGCUUAAAAAUCUGUAAGGCACAAUAGAACACAAACUGUGUGUGAUCUGGCGUGUAGAAAAGGACUUGACGUCCUCGACCUUCCACCUGAUAUCCAACCAUACUCGAGAAGGAGUACUUCAAGAACCAUCAUUGUCUCUAAAAUCGUACAUGGGAAAACUCUCCAUAAGUUUGGGGCAUGUAACUGGUACACUGAUACGUACUCCUGCAGGAUAUGUACAUUCUUAGAUGUUCAUUUUCUUCAUCUUAUUUAGAUUAAAGGGGCAGUAACCUUGAAGAAGAUGAUAGGGAUGGGUUUUCCUUUGUUAGACGUGAUAUACCCGUAACCCGCCACUAGCGCUGAAAAGCCUUCUGGCUAAGGUUGUGAAGUUGUUCAGCCGUCUACUAAGCUUCUGCCAGUUGCUCAGAUGGGAGUUGUUGGUCGGAGUUGAAUGUAUCUUCCACAUAAUUGGAAUCGCACAUGACAAAUCAAGUUGGCUUCUCGAUGACGUCCUGCAGUCAUUUAUGAAAGCUCAUGGACCUCUGAAGAUAUC